CCCAACAUAAGAAGUUUUACAGUCAGAUGUGGCAUAUUUUAGUAAGAGCUUUUCCUCCUACGAAACACAUUCCAAACAAUAUAAUUUGGUAGGCAUUAGCAGCAAUUGCUCUUGAAAUCAUUCCUUUUAGAAAGAAAAUCAGUUUUUAACAGCUUUAGGUAGUGAAGGACCACAUGUUUUGGUAAAAACGGAAUGAAGUUAAGAGUCUACCUUUGUUUUUCCGGAAUAAAACCCCAGUGAUGUGACCUCAUAAUGGUGAAUGCUGAGCAAGCUCCCCUGCACUCUAGAACCAGCUGCCAUGGUUUCACAUCUCCCCACCUGUAGGGUGCAACAUUAGCUAGCAAAGAAAGCACAAGGGUCUUCAACAAAAAAGAAGCAGGCACUACCCAGACAGGAAAUGGCCCCUAGUCUGCUUCUCCACCCUGCUCAUGAUCCCAUCACAGAGCCAUAGCUGAAGGGACUGCCUCCAGCUGCCUCUCCUGCCAGAGCAAAAGGUGUAUCCGCUUCAUCUCAGAGCACUUUUCUCUUCAUGAAUGCUUCUGGUCUCUAAGGUUGCGUCCUUCUGAAAUAUGUUAUCACAUACAUCUCUACUGAGAGAAAAGGAUUUAUUUUGGACACUUCAUCUCAUGGACAAGUCCAUCUCCAGAGUCGCACAGAGCACACCUGGGCAGGAGGGUUUCCAAGAACCAGGCACAGUGGGAGGAGCAAGAGCCAUGGAGCACAGCCAGCUGUGCACAGCUCCUUCUGGCUCCAGACCCCAGCUAAACCUCCCGACACAUCUGUUUUGCCUUGUGUGUUUUCUACCACCCAUAGGACAUACUGGCAUCAUAAGGCGCAGCUAGUAGGUUUUGUUUCCUGUGUAGGAACUGGAUGUGAAGAAAGUGUCAAAGCAUUUGAGUGUCUGAAAAAAACUACCUUUGACGUUUAAAAGUGAGUGUGCUACAAGAAAUACAGCUGAGAAUAUGCAAGUGUCCAUCUCAGAACUGUACAGUCAUAGACCAAAUCGCAGCUGGUGUAUGAGAGGACAGACCUUCCAUUCCAAAAAAUACAGAUGUACUAUACCGCCAUAAACAAAUGCUCCUAUUUGCUGUGAGUGAACACUACAAAACAUGCUGUAAGUGCUUUUGUCUUCUAUCCUCGGCAACAUGAUACAGAGGUUUGGAGCCAAUUAAAAUAAGCCAAGAAGUUCAUGUACCUAAAGGACAAAUAUAUAACUUGGUAAGGAAGUAAAUUCCCUUUUGUAGCAUUGUUCACAGCAGUAAAAUCCACUGUUCACAGAGUUUGUACCUCCAGUCAUAGCCCAUUCAUCUUUGUGGGAUAUUUCAAAACAUAUCAGUGGGAUCCAUUUUAGACUUACUAUUCUAUCUCCUGACUCAUUAUGGUCAAUUGAAUGAAACUGGCACAUUGCAACCGUUUAUUGUCUGAUCUGUGUCAAAUGCUUACCUGAGGAGAUGACUAGCUCCCUAGAAGUGCCUACUUUUUUCUCAGUUACAAAGGGAACCCAGCUUAGAGAAAGGUAAUGGAGACAAAUCCCUUCUCGGUUGACUCAGAUGGCAAGAUUCACCAGAAGCCAGGGGACUAUGCUGUCACUUAUUAAUUACUCAGUUUUAUUUAUUUUUUAAUAGGUAGCAGGAAAUAAGCAUCCUCCCACAGCAAAUUAAUAUGCCGAUAUUUUAUUAUGUAGGUUAAUCAUUAUCUCUGCUUUUAAAAUGUAUCAUAAUUCAUUAAGCAAAAUAUUUCUAUCAGAAAAUGGAGAUUAGUCCCCAGAAGUACAGUGAAAUCUUCCGUUCACAGAAAGAAGAGGCAGUUUUGCCACAGAUAACCUGACUUCCUAUUCCCAUC
rnacentral:lncRNA from 1 species